AACGAACGCUGGCGGCAGGCUUAACACAUGCAAGUCGAACGCCCCGCAAGGGGAGUGGCAGACGGGUGAGUAACGCGUGGGAACGUGCCCUUCGCUUCGGAAUAGCCCCGGGAAACUGGGAGUAAUACCGGAUACGCCGUAUUGGGAAAGAUUUAUCGGCGAAGGAUCGGCCCGCGUUGGAUUAGGUAGUUGGCGGUGUAAUGGACCACCAAGCCUACGAUCCAUAGCUGGUCUGAGAGGAUGAUCAGCCACACUGGGACGGAGACACGGCCCAGACUCCUACGGGAGGCAGCAGUGGGGAAUCUUGGACAAUGGGCGCAAGCCUGAUCCAGCCAUGCCGCGUGAGUGAAGAAGGCCUUAGGGUUGUAAAACUCUUUCGCCGGAGAAGAUAAUGACGGUAUCCGGAGAAGAAGCCCCGGCUAACUUCGUGCCAGCAGCCGCGGUAAUAC
rnacentral:rRNA from 1 species